rnacentral:tRNA from 1 species
CUUUCGAUAGCUUAUUUUAAAGCAAGGUGUUGAAGCCGCCUCGAUGGGGGGACCCCCCCUUGAAAGA